rnacentral:rRNA from 1 species
CCUACGGGAGGCAGCAGUGAGGAAUAUUGGUCAAUGGGCGAGAGCCUGAACCAGCCAAGUCGCGUGAGGGAAGACGGCCCUAUGGGUUGUAAACCUCUUUUGUCGGAGAACAAAACCCGGGACGUGUCCCGGACUGCGUGUAUCCGAAGAAAAAGCAUCGGCUAACUCCGUGCCAGCAGCCGCGGUAAUACGGAGGAUGCGAGCGUUAUCCGGAUUUAUUGGGUUUAAAGGGUGCGUAGGCGGGACCUUAAGUCAGCGGUAAAAUUGCGGUGCUCAACGCCGUAGAGCCGUUGAAACUGGGGCUCUUGAGUGAGCGAGAAGUAUGCGGAAUGCGUGGUGUAGCGGUGAAAUGCAUAGAUAUCACGCAGAACCCCGAUUGCGAAGGCAGCAUACCGGCGCUCAACUGACGCUGAGGCACGAAAGUGCGGGUAUCGAACAGGAUUAGAUACCCCGGUAGUC